GAAACUCCCUCCUGCUGCCAGGGACUGGAGCCGGGCACAGGGUGAGACUCACCCCGGGGUCAGGCCUCCAGCCCACACAGUCUCCCGGGACACAGACCUGGAAAGGCCUGACAGGAGCGUGGCUUCCACCAGUGACCCCGGCUCCCCACCAUCGAGCGGGGCACCACCUCUGCACCCACAGCGGUGGCACCUGAGCCCCGGCUCAGGAGCAGAAUGCACAGCCAAGCCUAUGGCCCACCGCUAGGGACCCUGGCGCCCUGCUCGGCCCUCCACAGGUAUUUUCCAUCCACUAUUGGUGGAAUCGGUGGACAUAGAACCCAUGGACACGGCGGAGCGACUCUUCAGAACACAGAUGAGUCUUGGUCGGAAUUCUCAGCUUGGUGUUGAACUGUACAGAAGUAACCCCAGCUAGUAUCUACCACGACUCUGUACAACUGCCUGCGACCUCAGUCCUCACCCCACACUAGAACGCAGAGACCACAUCAUGUGAUAAUCACGUCCAUUUAACAGAUGAGAAGCACGGAGGCUGGAAACAACGAGGCUUUCCUUCAUCUUCCUAUCAGUCACAGUCAUCAACGAGGUGUGCAAAAAGUUGGGGUCUCCCCCAUCAAAGCACACAGGCAGAUGGCACUUACUGAUCCUCCUGGGAUGGGACAGGCACAGGACUACCUCUGGCCAAUGAGUUAUAAGAGGAAGCAAUAUGUGACAUUCUGAGCUGGAGCAUUUAAUUCAUGGGGUCAUCAGCCUCGGGCAGGGUGAUCGGCCACAUCUGAUAUGCUGGCAACUCCGUCAGGCCAGGCUCUGGGAGACUACAAUAAAUACAACCUCUUGCUGAGCUCCAGUGGAUGCACAGCAAGAACAAAACCUAAA